ensembl:lncRNA
AUGGACGGCGUUCGGCCGCCAAUCGGGAUGGGAGAAGCGACAGCCCGCGCGUCUUUUGGGGGCGGACUGACAGCCCCGGGGCCCUAUGGGAGGCGGGUCCUGCGGCCCGCGGGGGCGGGACUGCGCCGGGCGCUGCCCCGGGGAACUCAGGCCGCUUCGCGGGCGCUGCCAGUCUCCGGCGGCGGCGUCCGGCGCGCGGGCGGCCUGCUGGGCGGGCUGAGGGGCCGGCGGCGCGCGGCUGAGGCAGAGCGACAGAGCGGGCGAGCCGCCACGGCGACAGGUCCCGUCUCGGCGGCCCUCGACUCGCCCGCCGCCCGACGCCUGAGAGCCAGGCGGCCCGUGAGCCGCCGCCGCCGCGAGCGGGAGAGAAACUUCGGUCUCCCGGGCCCGGGCGGCGGGAGAAGUGGGCCCGCGGUGAGCCGUGCGCCGGCACGCAUCGCAGGCGCGAUGGAGCCUCGCUCACCUGGCGGGCCCGCCGAGGGAGGGAUAACGGAGCGUCCCGCCGCAGCCGCGGUCCCCGGCUUUCGGUCUGCGCUCCCGGGGCGGUGGGUGUGGAUAUGCGCGUUCGCCGCCUUUCACCUGCCGCCCCGGGAGGAGGACCAGUGACUGGGAACACGGCCUCCCCGUCCUCGACUGCCUGUAGAGGGGACUGGGGCAGCGCCGUUCCAACAGGUGAUUAUCCCAAGUGCCAGGUGAGAGCCACUGAAAAGUUGUUUCAGUGUUCGAUAAUUCAAUUCACUCCCUGGGCUUUGUUCAAGCCUUCUCCCGUAAUGAAUUUUUUUUUUUUUUUAAAGGUGUGCUGACCGUAGUAUAGGAGUCAAAAACCAGUAUUGAUUGGGGUGCGGGGUGGGUGGGGAAAGUGGGGAGUGUCGCCAGCGUGUGGAUUGCCUUCUUUCCAUUGACUUGGCCGGGAGGAACAUCUUAGUUUAAAAAUCGGUUUCUGCAGUGGUGGUGAAAGCAUGCAUAGUAAGGUACAAGUUGUAAAUGGAGAAUGCAGAGCUCGAGAUAUCCUUCGCUGUGGUUCAGGACAGAGUGUACAACGUUUGGCCGCCAUUCAGUAAAUUCUGCAUGAAGCAGUUUGAGCUCGUGGUUUUGGAUUUACUUUACAAGAGUGGAAUAAGGCUUAGCUUUGAAUGGGAGCUUUCUUUGCCUCUCUGAAGGCACACAGGAGUGUUUAUUUUCAUUGUCUUCUCGUUUUGUUAGAUUGUAGACAAGGGAAAAGUUAAGGCAUAUUUUGGUUCAGUAUUUUUAAUAGCCUAUGGGAAUUCUCCUUCACCCAUUCUCCCCCUCCCCCGCCCCGCAUAAGAGUAUUUAUUUUAAAAUUCGAGGGUAGAGUUGAACAACUUUUUAUUCUUGUGGAAGUUUUUAUGUUAUACUUUCACUUAUUUUCUGUUUCUCUCUCUCACAGCUGACCUCACUUAAAAUCUAUAGUUACGGCCUUGACCAAUUUAGGGCAUUUAUAGAAAAAGUUUUAAAAUAAUAUGUAAUUAUUUUAAAAUAUAUUAUGAAGGUUUAGAUAACUCAGAUUUUUCUUAUGUCUUUUUUAAAAUGUCUGUGCUGGAUAUGAUUUGAAUAAGAGAUGUAAGGAACUUCUUAAGGACAGUUACACUUUUGAUUUAAUUAUGUUACUUUAUUAGUGCUUCAUUGAAUGGUAAUUUUAGUCACAUGUUAAUUAGUAACACCUUUGAAAGGUGCACUCUAACCAAUAGGCUAGUUGUGACUGUUCGGGAUUUUUUUUUUUUUAAUCAAAGAUUUUAUAAAAUUUUUUUUUGUUUCUCUAAAACAGGCUUAUCUGCUGUGAGUUCUUUGUCUUUCAAACGUGAACAUUUUAAAAUAUUGGAUUAGGCAACUAGUGAAGUCUUCAAUUUUCUGUUUAUUCUUGCAUUGGAAAAAGAACUUAUUUCGGUUGUUUUGUUUCCUAAAGUCUUAGCUUAGAACAAGCAGUCUAGAGAAGGAAGAACAUCCUCUUUCUAUAGCUGUAGAAGAAAUUAUUACUGUUGAAAGCUGAGUUGGCUUUUCGAUGCUUAGCGAAGGUAGAUUGAGCAGUGACUUGUUCAGAGUGGGUUUUAUUCUGUAUAAGUAGUUCUGAGGAAUCUCAUGAGACUAGGGUUAUAGGUGAUCUAUAUAAUUGUUGUUUAAAGUGUAUAGGAAUAUAUUAGUUUAACUAUUGUGUAUAAUUAGAAGUUUUAUAGUUUUUAUCUUGUGAUGCUUAAAUGUACCACAUACCAUAAAUUAAAGCUGUAUUUCAUAGUUUAAUUUACAGAAGCAUGUUUUGGGAACUUUAAAAGUGCCUUUUAAUUAAAAUACUGUUUUCAAAUUCAAUUUUUACAUGUUUUAAUUACUGAUUUCUGUCCACUUUUAACUUGUGGUAGACCGUAUCAUAAAAUGGUCAACCACGUUAUAGUUUCAAAAUUAAAUAUAAGUUGAAUUCUUACAUCUACAUAAUAAAUGUUGGGAGUAUUUUUAAGUCACUUACCCUCAGGUUUGGCUCCUUUUGAAUUUGGGGGUGGGCAAAUAUUUUUGAUUAAACAAAGCUACAGAAAAACAGGGACACAUGUGAAACAAGCUACGUUUGAGGGUAAAUCACAUGAUACUGUUAGAUAGUAAUACUUGUUUAUUUAACAGUAAAAUGCAUGCUGUAUCUGUUAUUAAGAAUAUUUUCUGUAGGCCUUUAAUAUGAUUUUUCACAAUUCCUAACAAUCUAUAUUGUACAUAUUUUGGCACACUGAAUUCUGUACUUAUUUUAUGCUGAACAGUUAAAUAUUUUAUACUUUUUAUAAUUCUGAAACUAUUUGAACUUUCUAACCUAGCUAAUUAAGUAAUCAGAUUUUUUCAUUAUUUUACAUUCUGAAUUUUUUUUACAGUGCAUUUUUAACUUCUGACAUUAUGCCAGGAAAAUUAAAAGUUUAAGGAAAAUUAAAUUUACAGUCAUUUGAGACUAAGUGGAAGUUGGUAGGUAAAUCAUAUAACUGUUGAUUUAAAAACAGUAGCCACUUAAGUGGGGUUUUUUUUGCAAAAAGAUGCUUAUUUAUUGUGUAAAAGAUAGUUCUGCCAAAUGAAACAGGUUAAAGUAAUUUAUAGCAGGACCUUGUGGACGUAACUAAGUUCCUAAGGAUAUUUCAGUAGUAUUUAAAACACUAAAAUUCAAGCUCUCAAAUUAUUUGUACUUCAUUUUUGUCAUGAUGAGGCUUGACCUGCAUUCAGCUGAAACUCAAACAUGUAAGACUAUAAUCCUUAAAUGUGGCACGUAUUUUAGUGUUCUAGCCUUUUGGAAAACAGCUAGUUAAUAAGAGUGAAGGACCACCAGAGGGAGUGUGGGGUCUACACAUUUGAUUUGAUCUAUUUUCUACUCUUGGUCUGGAAAAGAAACAUUUUAAAAAAUAGGAAUAAAAUUUUAGCUCUCUAAAACAGGCAAAAAGAUAUUGAAAGUUGGAAAUUGUAGCUCUUUGGAACUGCUGUCAUUUUUGUAACACUUAAUCAAGUUUGUUUUUUUCUUUUUAGAAAAAGGUACAGUUACUAGAAAAAUAAAAAUUAUGUAUUUUCAGAGUGCAGUAAUGGGUUUUUAAGUAAACAUUUCCACAUCUGUGAAAGUUAUGGAACAUCCGAAUGCUAAGAAUGUUUUUUAAGAUUAAAAAUACAGUCCAUUUGAGUUGUAUGGUCUUGAAAUUGCUCAUUUUUUGGAAGGAGGAAUAAAAGAUGGAGAAAGAUCAAAGAUAGAAGAGGGGUUUUUUCCCCUUUUGUAGUCUGCAAAUCUUUGCUAAAGCAGGCGAUGGUAAAUUUUUGGAACCAUUUGUGAUGUUCAGUUUGUAGUCUUGGCAGUUUGUCUGUGAUGUUAAAUGAAGAACCACUCCUAGUCCCCUGCAAAUGAUCAUCUGAUGAUCAAAAACAGGGUUGGGGAUUUCAAAUUGGUUGCAUCAAAAAUCCGAUUUGUGUGUAUGUUUCUCAAUGUUCCUGUCUCUGGAAAUUAAAGAUCCUUCUAGCUGCUGAAAGUUACACAUGGAAUUUGAAGGUCAGGAUGUCUCUGUCACAGACAGUGCUGCAGUAGGUUGCUUUUUGGAAUGGAGGUCUUUUUCUGAAUAAGGAUGAAAUGGUCUUUACUCAUGUUAAAUAUUAGCCAAUGGAAUUAUUUCCAUGUUUAACUUUUUUAAAAAAGCAAGACAAUAAAGUAAAAUCUUGUAACCUUAACAUAUUUUGGGUUUUACCCCCUAGCAUUAAAAAAUUACUUCAUCAUGGAUAGUCAUAUUUAAUGUUCUGAAAUUCUAGUUUGGAAAGGGGAUCUGUUGUGAAAAGAUGGUAUUUCAUUGAUGCGAAAUACAGUAGCUUACAUGGAGAGAAAUUUGUUUCUCUUUUGAAUUAUACUUAGGUUAAAAUAUAAUAUACUUAUUAAGAAUUGAAAUGUCAUCUAAAUUUAUUUUCAUUGUGAACUUUAUAAGUUUGUUUAAUAUACCUUUGGGGUUAUUCCUGGGUAGAUCUCUCAGAGUCCAUUUGUGUACACACACACAUAAAUACGUACACACAGGUAGGAAGAUAAAUAUCUAUACUAUAUGUAUUUGUAUUAUAUAUGAAACUGUGUAUGUUUAUUGUAUGUAUACAUAUAAAUCAUCUAUAUGACUUCCCAGGCUUAUUUAUAUGUGAAUUCUUUUUUUUCAAGUGAAAUCUUGCUUCAUCAAGAGGAACAAAGUACAUGUCCACACAGAAACUGAUAAAAAUGUUCGUAGAAUCUUUCUUCACAAUAAUAAUAAAUGACUCAUAAUAAUAAUGACUCAUGGUGGCUCAGAGGUUAAAGCAUCUGCCUGCAGUGCGGGAGACCUGGGUUCGAUCCUUGGGUUGGGAAGAUCCCCUGGAGAAGGAAAUGGCAACCCACUCUAGUAUUCUUACCUGGAGAAUCCCAUGGACGGAGGAGCCUGGUGGGCUACAGUCCACAGGGUCGCAAAGAGUCAGACACGACUGAACGACUUCACUUUCACUUCACUUUCAAUGACUCAUACAAUGACAUAGAAGAAUCUCAGAAAUAUUUUUCAGAGCAAGAGAAACCAAACACAUGUAUGUAUUGUUCGAUGCCAUUUAUAAAAAAUAUAAGAACAGACAAAACUUAGGUAUGGUGAUAGAAAUCAGGAAAGCAGUUUCUGGGUAAAGGCUGUGGAUAACUGGAAAGGGACAAAGGGGAACAUUUUCUGUAAAGAAACUCUUCAGUUUUCAAAAAAUUAAUUAAUUUGACUUUGCUGGGUCUUUGUUGGCAGCACGUAGGAUCUAGUUUCUUGACUAGGGAUCAAACCCUGGCCCCCUGCAUUGGGAGAGUGGAGUCUUAGCCUUUGGACCACCAGGAAAGUCCCAAAAGGGAACUUUUGAGGGUGAUAGAAAUAUUCUAUAGCUUGGUUUGGGAUUCAAGUGAUUAAAUUCACAUAUACGCUUUCAGGGUAAUUUUUAAUUUU